GUGCUCGCUUCGGCAGCACAUAUGCUAAAAUUGGAAUGAUACAGAGAAGAUUAGCAUGGCCCCUGUGCAAGGAUGACACACAAAUUUGUGAAGCGUUCCAUUUUUUU
ensembl:snRNA U6 U6 spliceosomal RNA